UUUUUUUUCUGCUACCAGCGUGCUGCAAUGAAGCUUACUGUACAUCUUAACUGCAUUUGUGUUCUGCAUUCCUGGAUUUUAACAUGAGUCACAUAGCUUUCAAAAGGGGAUCAUGGCCAGAUGCCGUGGUGCACACUUGUAAUUCUGGCAGGAGGAUUCCAAGUCAGAAACCAGCCCGGGGAACUUAGACUGUCAAAAAAUUAGUUGUUUUUUUUUUUUUUAAUUGGUUUGUGGUGCUGCGGAUGGAAUCCAGGGCCUUGUGCAUGCAAGACAAGCUAUAUUCCCAGCCCUAGACUCCAAGGGCACAGGACAGAGGACGGGAAGAAAGUGAUUUUUCAGAGAAGACUGGACAAACUCUGCCAGCCAGGCGGUCAAGGUCGCCCUCAGCCAUUGUGUUCUGGCUCUAGAGUGUCACUAGAGUGACGCUUGGCCGCCUCUGGGCUUCCCCAAACACAAACUCCAGUCGAACCAACAUAAAGCUGAUCAAAGCCCAGUUGGGAGACAUAACAAAAUAGCUGACCUGCCCUCAAAACUGUCACCCAGGGCUGGAGCUGUCACUCAGUGGUAGAGCCCUUGCCUUGCAUGUGCAUGUGUGUGAGGCACUGGGUUCGAUCCUCAGCACAACAUAAAAAUAAAGAGAUUGUAUUGUUGUGACCACCUACAACUAAAAAAAAAAUAUUAACACUGUCAAGAUCUUUAGAAGAAAUUCUUAAGAAUGUGGCAGAGCCAGUAGGAGCGUAAGUGUUGACUGGGCUAGUUCCCAGGAUGGGCUCUUGGGGCAGGGAAAAAACAAAAGGUUGAGGGAAAAGCUCAGGAAGACCGGAUAAAGCAUAGAUUCUGUGAAUGACAUCAGUAUCAGUUAACUGUGACAAAUGUGCCACACCAAGAUGUUAAUGGGGAAACGGUGUGGGGAUGAUGGGGACUGUAUUUGCAGCUUUCUGUAAGUCUCAAAAAUUUUAUGUGUGUGCAUAAAAUAGCCAGACAUAGUGGCACAUGCCUGUGAUCCCAUCAUCUCUGACACGGGAGGGUUGAAAAUUUGAGGUCAGUCUGGGAAAAUUAGUGAGACACUGUCUCAGAAAGUGGGGUGGGCUGGGGGUGUAGCUCUGCCCCCCGUUCAAUCCCCAGCACUGAAAAGGAAAACAAAAAAAAAGGCUGAAAAACAUAAAAUACAUCCUUCACCCAUGUUUCUCGUAGUACUUUCUUAAUUGACAAAAACUGCACUGCGUAGCACUUUAUCACAUUUAUUUGGCCUUCUCUCUUCCUGCUGUUCAUAUUUAGGUAUCUGUAAUGAAACAAGGGUAUUUUCUCACAUAGCCAGGGUCCAGUUAUCAAGGUCAGAAAGUUAAUGUUGCCACAAUGUUCUUGUCAACAGACCUUAAUCAAAUUUUACUAAUAGUCACAUGUAAUGUCCUCAUAGUUAUAAAAAGCCCUGGCUAAUGGGUCCACCAGGUUUCCAUACUGCAUCUUCAGGUUGGAAGCCCACAGGGUAAGUAUACUGCAGACUGUUCUCAAUCAGAGCUUAUUGCCUGAUGUUUCCCCAGGGUUAAAUUCCAACUAUUUGGGACAGAGUUUCCAGAAGUGACAUGCCUUCCUGAGAUCACACUAUGAGGAGGCACAGGAUGACCGUUUGUCCCUUAACUGGGGAUGACUCUGAUCUCUUGGUUAGGGUAGUAUCUCUCGGGUCUCUUCACCAUCUGGGGGACAUAAAGAGGCCAGGAUUUCUCAAGUGGAGGUGGGGGAAAAGAAGGAAAUGAGGUGACACAUGUAACAAUGGGCAAACGGGUUUCACUGUGUGACUGGAAGCCACUGAUCCAAUAUCCAAUUCUCUCUCCUGUUCACUUUUCCCAGUGUUGUUGACUUGGUGCCUGAAACUAACAAGCUGUUUCCUGCCUCAGGGCCUUUGCUCAUGCUGGUCCCACCUCUUGGAAUAUUCUGCCCUCUCUUUAUAGUCUGGAUCUUUCUCCUCCUUCAGGUUUCAGCUCCAUUGUCCCACCUCAGAAAGGCAUGCUGGGCCACUAUCUAAAUUAUGUCUAGCCUGUUCACUCAUUCCUUCAACAAAUAUUUAUUGGGCACUGACUAUGUGCCAGGCACUGUUUUAGGUACUGGGGAUACAGCAAUAGGAGAAUGGUAGACAAGAAGCCCUGCCAUCAUGGGGCUCACGAACAUUGGUUGGUUAGAAAGCAAUAAGUGCUAAGGAGAGAAUAAGUGCAGAGAAUAUGGGAUGAGAAGUGCUUAGAAUGGCACUUUUCAUGGAGAAGGUGACAUCUAAAUAAAUACCUUAAAGGAAGUUUGGGAGGGAAACAGUCUGAGGGAAAAGCAUUUCUGGCAGAGGGAACACUCAGUGCAAAGGCCUCAGGUAUGAGGAAGAGGCCAGUGUGGGUGG
rnacentral:lncRNA from 1 species